rnacentral:lncRNA from 1 species
GAGUUUUUAGCUAUUAUGUCCUGCAUAUGUUGCCGGAUUAAGUAUCCAAAACAAUUAUUUUGGUCGGUCAUAAUCCAAUACAUAGUACUUAACUCUAUUUGACUAAUCUCAUCAUGAUGAAAUUGUUUAGGAAGUAGGAUGCUUAUCAUGAUGUGAUGAAGAAAUUUAGAGUUAAAGGGCAACAAAUGCUCGCAACUUUUGGGAAUUAUGCCUAGGUUCGGAU